rnacentral:rRNA from 1 species
CAGUCGCCCGGUAAAACGGAGGGGGCUAGCGUUGUUCGGAAUUACUGGGCGUAAAGCGCACGUAGGCGGCUUGGUAAGUUAGAGGUGAAAGCCCGGAGCUCAACUCCGGAAUUGCCUUUAAGACUGCCGAGCUAGUAGGUGAGAGAGGUAAGUGGAAUUCCGAGUGUAGAGGUGAAAUUCGUAGAUAUUCGGAAGAACACCAGUGGCGAAGGCGGCUUACUGGCUCAUUCUAGACGCUGAGGUGCAAAAGCGUGGGGAGCAAACAGGAUUAGAUACCCCAGUAGUCCCUGUCUCUUAUACA